CUCCUGGGAAGCUCUAGGAUGUGACUUUAAGCUGGAAAGACUCUCAGGAGCUAGGUUUGAUAUGGCACAAUCUCAAGGCAUCGCUAAGUCUGAAGUUCUUCCAGCAGUAAACCACAAAGGACAAGCAGCUCAGAGAUUAGCGAAUGCGUCUCAGCUGUCCUAGAAAAGUGCUGUCAGCAAGUCUGAAGAGUUUCCCAGAAGCCCUGAAAGGACGCAAUAGCAUCAUUUAGCAGAAAGAAACAGCCCUGGAUUAAUGUUCUUUUGGGAUUCAUCUUCUGGCUUUGUGAUUUUGGGCAAGUUACUUAUCUUCCUCCAUUUAUUCACAUAUAUAAUGAGAGGAGUAGUACCUACCUUACAAACUUUUCUGUGAGAAGCAAAAAAAAUAAAAAUAAAAAAUAAAAAAUAAAAUUGUUAAAUA
rnacentral:lncRNA from 1 species